UACGUAGGGUGCAAGCGUUGUCCGGAAUUAUUGGGCGUAAAGAGCUCGUAGGCGGUUUGUCACGUCUGCUGUGAAAUCCCGAGGCUCAACCUCGGGCCUGCAGUGGGUACGGGCAGACUGGAGUGCGGUAGGGGAGAAUGGAAUUCCUGGUGUAGCGGUGGAAUGCGCAGAUAUCGAGAGGAACACCUGCGGCGAAGGCGGGUUGCUGGGCCGACACUGACGCUGAUGCGCGAAAGCCAGGGGAGCGAACGGG
rnacentral:rRNA from 1 species